rnacentral:rRNA from 1 species
CCUACGGGAGGCAGCAGUGGGGAAUUUUGGACAAUGGGCGCAAGCCUGAUCCAGCAAUGCCGCGUGAGUGAAGAAGGCCUUCGGGUUGUAAAGCUCUUUUGUCAGGGAAGAAACGGUGGGAGCUAAUAUCUCCUGCUAAUGACGGUACCUGAAGAAUAAGCACCGGCUAACUACGUGCCAGCAGCCGCGGUAAUACGUAGGGUGCAAGCGUUAAUCGGAAUUACUGGGCGUAAAGCGUGCGCAGGCGGUUUUGUAAGACUGUCGUGAAAUCCCCGGGCUCAACCUGGGAAUGGCGAUGGUGACUGCAAGGCUAGAGUUUGGCAGAGGGGGGUAGAAUUCCACGUGUAGCAGUGAAAUGCGUAGAUAUGUGGAGGAACACCGAUGGCGAAGGCAGCCCCCUGGGUCAAAACUGACGCUCAUGCACGAAAGCGUGGGGAGCAAACAGGAUUAGAUACCCUGGUAGUCCACGCCCUAAACGAUGUCUACUAGUUGUCGGGUCUUAAUUGACUUGGUAACGCAGCUAACGCGUGAAGUAGACCGCCUGGGGAUCGGUCGCAAGNUUAAAACUCAAAUGAAUUGACGG